rnacentral:misc_RNA from 1 species
CUAAUGAUGUUAUGUAUUUUUGAAUCAUGACAAUCUUUGAUUGACUUUUCCUUUUUAAGUAUAUGUGGAUAUAUGUAUGGUGCAUACUGGUAUGUGUGGUGAGGAGAAUUGGCUAAGAAAGUGGGUUAAUGAACAAGAAAAUGGAAUAUAUGAAUUGGAAGAGGAGAUAUGUAAGAAAUUUUGUUGAUAAAAGUGUCAAAAUAUAAUCCAUGACAAAGUUGUAUGAUAGCCAUGGAUUUUGUGGGAGUCAAUGUCUGAAGAAUAUCACUAUUUACUGAAACAUUAGCUCAGCCAACCAUUUCAUUUACAGAACACAAGUUUUAAUUCACCCCCCUAUCCUUUGUACACAACAUCAUAGCUUCCCCGCAAAAGACAGGCCAUUAUCCAGUUAUGAUCCCAUUGGGGUAUGGUCUUGGGUAUGCAACUCUGAAG